UCCAGUUCUGGCAGCUCCAACCCUCUCCUCCACGUCCCCUGAGGCUGUACCCUUUCUCCCAAGUUUCCAGGCCGGGAUCCAUUCGAAGGGCCUGCCCAUCUCUCUACAAAUCGGGUUUCCGUCUUGCUGAUGCAGAUCCCAAAGCCAGAGCUUUCUUAAGUUGUCUUGGGCCCCACCUUCUGAAAUGGAAACUCUGAGGGAAGGCCAACUAACCCCGUAUUACUGUAUGUCAGACACUGGAAUACAAUGGGAAAAAUGAAAGUGUCCCUGCCUUUUAGGAGCCUUCCCCUGAUAGGGGGAUUAGAUUAGACCAGUAGAUACAGAACAAACCCAAAGUGGUUUAGGGAUGAGGGGGCAUCAGGAAAAACUCUGCCUAGAAAUUGGUGCCUGUCCUAAGAGGUUCCACAAAGCAGAGGUGAGGAGGAAGUAAGCUCCCAGGGAGAGAGAGCAGUUCAGUUUGACUGAACCAAAGACUUAGGGAAAAGAAAGAAAGGGGAGGGAGACUGUAAAUGCAGGUGCGGGACAAAUGGGAAGGACCUUAUUUAAAAGCCAAAUGGAAGUUUAUUGUUGUUGUUCAAUCAUUUUUCAAUUGUGUUUACUCUUCAAGACCCCAUUUGAAGUUUUCUUGGCAAAGAUACUGGGAUGGUUUGCCAUUUCCUAAAGGUCAAAGGGAGUAGCUGGACUUUAUUGAAUUGGGGGUGGGAUAGAAUUUCUAGAACUGAACUUUGGGAAACUCUUUGGCAGUGGGAUGGAGGAUAGACUGGCAUGGAGGCAGGGUGGACAACUAGGUGGUCAUUGGCAUGUGGUGAGCCGUGAGGCGCGACUACACUAGGCUGAUGAGAGAGAUCUAAGAGCCACCAUAGAAGCAGAAACAAGAUUUAGCCAGUGAUUGACUAUGUGGGGUGAAGGAGAGUGGGGAUCUAGAAAUGAAAAAAAAAAAAGAUUAUGCUCUAACUAAUAGUAGGGUAGGAACUCAGAAAACGUUCAGAGGAGCGGCUACAGAUGUUUGGGAGAGACGCUGUGACAUCUGUUAGUCUUUGCUGAGGGCAGGAAGAGUUGGAUUUUUGCAUUCCUGUUUCCAGCACCCAGCACAAGUAUCCGACACAAAAAGGUACCCAAUAAAGACGUCAAUAAAUGAAUGUAGUUGUCUGAAGCCAUGGUUACCAGGCUGAGAUUUUCAGUGGGAGAGUGGUGUGAGGAGAGGAUUCAUUGUGAGAGCAAGACCUUCCCACUGAACGGUAAGAUGUUCAUUUUUACAACUCCAAAUCCUGGAUUCCUUGGUGUUGUAAGCAGAGGGUUUUUCUCGGCCCACCAUUCUCUUUUGUCAAGCUCUCUAGAUCCCAGCCAUGGCCUGUCCUCCUACCUGGGGCCCCUCCUUUCAAGCCACGCCCUUCCUGGGACCCGUGCUUAUUAGAUCCCCAUUGCCUUGAAACUUCAAUGAGAACUUUCUGAGGUGGACGGAACAUGAGAAGAUUUGGGGCAUGGGGCCAGGCCUGCCCAAGCCUAGCUUCCUCAGGAGCUCAUGCAGCACACCUGGAUCUGCCUCCAGGCUCCAGCAGCAACUUUACAGGCCAACAAGGGCUGAAGCGGAGACCUGCCUUUCUCUUCUCACUCCAGAGCUCAACAGGGGCUAGCCCAGAAAAGCUUUGCCCCUUGUCUGGAGAGAGUGGCCUCUGGCUUUGUCGACGAGGGGGCACCUCCAGGGGCUGAGAAGACAGCCCCUCUUGUCACUUGUGCCAAUGACCUCAUCAGCUUCUAAAAGGAGGGUGCUAGACCCCUGAGGGGCAGAAUCAGAAGAAGGGUCUCCAACUUGCCACUCCAGUUAAGAGGCCAUGAUUCAACAAACAGCAGCACCAGAGUGGAGCAUGGGGUCAGUCCUGACCCAAGAAACAUCACAGGCCAUUUGAACCAACUCUUCCAGUAACAGAUGAGGAAACCAAGACCCAGAGAGAAAGUGGCUUAGCCAGAGCCCCUGACUGAGGCCCCAGGCACCUUGUUGACCGAAAAGGGCCUCUGGUCAAAGUGAAGGGUCAUGGGAUCCAAUCUAAUUCCUUUACUGAAGAAAAAACAGGUCAUCCAGGCAGUGAACAACAGAUCUAGGCCGACUAAGGACUUCCUCCAGACCCCUACCCAGGUUUUAGAGACAAAGUUAGCAUCCACAUAUGGAUUUUUUUUUCAAAGCGUUUAAGAAAAGAAUGGAGCGUGCCCUGAAUUCCUUGAUGAAAGAAUGAAUACCUUUUGUCCCUCUCUCCAGCCAUGGCAAGGCUUUGUUGGAAGAAAAGGGCCAAGAAGAGGCAAGGGCCUCCAGGAGGUAGAAGUCUGGGUAGCCAGUAGAUAAGGAGGGUGGCUUUUUAGUUCACAGUGAGCUUUACAGGUAAGAUCUCUGAUCCUCCCAGAGAGCAUUGUCUCCUACCAGUGUGGGAGACAGGGCACAAGCUAUUCCCACUUUACAGAUGGGAACACUGAGUCACAAGGGGUAGGUUGUCAUGCAGAGCUUCGACUGCCUGAGCUAGACACCAUGUUAGGGUUGUUUUGGCCAACAGCCUCAUUUCACAGCUGAGGAACCUGAGGUUCAGUGAGGGGUGGAGAAGAGUCUCCUGACCCUGUUCCUAGACCUUCAUUCUGCCUCUCCAGGUGACCUCUGUUCUCCUGCUGUCCCUGGGAGAAGAGUAACAUCAGCCUCUGCCCAUUUUGCCCUUGGUCCUAGUCAGAGCCAAACACUGCAACCCAAUGGGUGGUGCCCCCUCCCCCCCAAGGAUCUCCCACUCAAACCAUCAUUGUGUCAGUUAAAAUGAAAGGACCCUGCUGAUGGCUGGUCUAGCAGAUGUUCUCUGUAGGGGCUCCUGAGGGCUGCCCCUGCCCUGCCAGCUGGGCCCUCUGCCAGGCUGGGAGUCAUUGUUGUCUGGAUACAGAUGUCAACAAGCAGGUCAGCAUUUCUGCUAUAGCAAGAGUGGGCUGGUGCAGGUGAUGGGGGAGAGGAACUUGCAGCUCUGAUCCCCUGAGGCACUGAGUCCAGCCUUGAGUAGCCAGAGUAUCUUCCACUCUGCCCUGACCCCAAGCAACAUCUUCUUUGUCACGACUGCAGCAAUAAAAUGGGUCAAAGCUCCUAUCCCCGGACUGAAAGGAUCAUCUCCUUGCAGUUGAUCCCCAUCCCUGAGUGGGAAGGGGUCCUAGAAUCUCCUAAGAGACCCUUUGGCCCAAUAGGAGUCCCCUGGGCAACAUCCCUGACAGAGAAGCCUCCAGUCUCUGCUAGGAGAGCUCCAGUAAAGGAAACUCAUCAUCUCCUGGACAGGCUCACCCCUUGGGGUCAGCCCUCAUUGGGAAAACCAGACAGCAACCUAAUUCUGUCCUCUUGCUUCUGGUCCUGCCCAGUGGCACCAAGAACAAGGCUAGGCUCUCCUCUGGCAGGACAGGCCCAGCCACAACUAGCUCCUGCCCUCCUUGCACUCCACAGCCACCUGCCCUUCACUUGGUCAUCCAAGGCAAUAUAGAAUAUUUAGGAGUCUCCCUGCCAAGACAAACCCAGGAACUGUAUGAAGACAAUUAUAAAAUACUUUUUCACACAAAUAAAGUCAGGUCUAAACAACUGGAAAAUAUCAAUUGCUUAUGGGUAGGCCAAAUUAAUAUAAUAAAAAUCACAAUCUACCUAAAUUAAUUUACUUAUUCAAUGUCAUACCACAUUACCAAAAAUCAUUUUAUAGAGCUAGAAAAAACAGUAACAAAAUUCAUCUGGAAGAAGAAAAGGUCAAAAAUAUCAAGGGAAUUAAUGAAAACAAAUGUGAAAGAAGGUGGCCUAGCUCUACUAGAUCUCAAGUUGUAUUAUAAAGCAGUAAUUAACAAAACAUUUUGGUACUGGCUAAAAAGUAGACUGUUGGAGCAGAAGAAUAGAUCAGGCACACCAGAAAUAGUAGUAAAUGACCAUAGUGACACAGUGUUUGAUAAACCCAAAGACCCCAGAUUUGGGGACAAAAACUUACUAUCUAACCAAAAACUGCUGGGAAAACUGGAAUACAAUAGCAAAAAUUAAGUAUAAAUCAACAUCUUAUACAGCAUAUUAAGAUGACAUCAAAAUAAAUAAAUUCUUCCUUUCUCCAUAGAUCUGAUAGGUAAACUAUUCAAUUCUCUGGAGAAAGGAAGAAUUUAAGACCAAACAAGAAACCGAGAGCAUUGCUAGAUAUAAAAUGAGCAAUUUUGAAUAUAUUAAAUUAAAAAGGGUUUGCACAAACAAAAACCACUGCAAUCAAGAUUAGAAGGAAAACAAAAAAACUGGGGAACAAUUUUUACAGCAACUUUCUCUGAUAAAGACCUCAUUCUCAAUUAUAUAAAGAAUUGAACCAAAUAUACAAGAAAUAAGUCAUUCCCCAAUUGAUAAAUGAUCAGUGGAUAUAAACAGUGUUCAGAUGAAAGCUACAGCCAUAUAAAAACCUUUUAAAUCACUAUUGAUCAGAAAAAUGCCAAUGAUAACAUCUCACACCUAUCAGAUUGGCUAAUAUGACAGGAAAGGAAAAUAAUAAAUGUUGGAAGGUUUGUGGGAAAAGUGGGACACUAAUGUACUCACUGUCGGUGAGAUUGUGAAUUGAUGCAACCACUCUGGAGAGCAAUUUGGAACUUUGCUUUAAUACUGCAUACCCUUUGACCCAGAAAUGAGACUAUAUUCCAAAGAAAAGUUUUAAAAAUUGGAAAAGGACCUAGUUAUCCAAAAACUAUUUAUAGCAGUUUUUGUGGCAAAGAACUAGAAAUUAAGGUGAUGCCCAUCAAUUGGGGAAAUGACCGGACAAGUUGUAGUUUAAGAUUACAUUGGAAUAUUACUGUGCUGUAAGAAAUGAGCAGUGUGUUUCAGAAAAAACCUGGAAAAAUUGAACUAGGAUAUUGUACAGAGUAACAGCAAUACUGUAUGGUGGUUAGUUGUUAAUAACUUAGCUAUUCUCAGCAAUACAAUGAUUCAAAACAAUUCCAAAAAAUUCAUGAAGAAAAUCAAAAUCCAUUUCCAGAGAAAGAACUGAUGGAGUAUUAAUGCAGAUCAAUAGUUAUGUAAAUGGGGCUGAGCUGGACCUCCCCCAGAAGAACAGAGCAGCCAUAAAUGGCCAGCCCCUCACUCCCCAUUUCUGCCCCCAACAUGUUCCUCAAGUUUCCUCUACAUUUUGUGCUGCCCAGAGAUUCCCUCCAAGUUACAUUAACUAUGAGGUUUGGCUUUUUAGGCAGAGAAAGGUUGGGGAGAAGAAGGAGGUGGGGGGAGGGGAAAAGGGGAGCCCCCAGUAACAAAAAGGGGAACUGGAGGGACAGCCAAAGAGCCAGCGUGGCUCACACCCCUCCCACAGAACUGGAGCUUCUUAGCCCGGAGCUGAAAGCCAUUGGCCUUCUGUAUACACUUGUGUGGACAAGGAUGACGCAGGGAGGAAGCCGCUCCACAGAGUGAAGUUAAUCUAGCCCUUCAAUACCCCGUAGCAGGGCUCAAGUGGGUCGGGUGCCCCCACUGGCUCCCUCAGACCCUGCUCAGCCAAAGGUCACCAGCUACUUCUAGUUCUCCCAGCUCCCAGCAGGGUCAGGGUGAAGGGGUCCCAUCAUGCACAUUGGGCAGACGUAGCUGCUUCCUUUCUCGUGGUCAGUUUUAGUCAAGCUUCAUUUCCCCAACGCUACUGGAUGGUCACUACAAGGGCCAAUGUCGGGAAUGCCCCCAUAGGUCUCCGUGGUAGCUCCCCCACACGGAGCACUCAGUCCCUGGGUUUCUAUGCCUGGGGAACCCCUAGGACAUGCAUCACACAUGCAUGUGCACAAACGUGUCCGUGGGACCGUGGGACCGUGGGACCGUGGGAGAUCACUUCCAGGGACGAGCUCCAACCCCCUGAGUGGGUAAAUGACACAUCAGGUCCAGCUCUUCCCGCUGCAAA
rnacentral:lncRNA from 1 species